GGUUGUGUAGUGUAGUGGUCAUCACGUCAGAUUUUGAUUCUGAGAACCCCAGUUCGAACCCGGGCACGACCU